ensembl:lncRNA
GCCCUGUAGGUCGGCCAGGUACUCUAGUUGAGCCUUCCAUUUAGACAAUCGUACCUCGGUUUCUGUCCCCCAUAUUUUUUUGGAUCCAGGGGCUCCCCAUAAAAACGGGCAUGGCACGGGGUUGGGCUGAAGGCCCCGCGUUGUCGGUCAUUGGACGACCUUGGUUACUCAACUCGAGGUGGAAACCCUGCCGACUACGCCAAAUCUGUCACACCCAGGGGCCGGCUAUGCUUUGACUAAGCCACACCCCUUCUCAACUUCCACCUCGAGGAGGUCCCCAAAGCCAACCCAAUGGCCAAACAACACGAGAACAAGUAAGUGAUAAAACAAUCUUUAUUUAAAUAUUUAAAAAUAGCUUGGGGAAUAGGGAAAGGGCAAUUAAAACUAAACUCUGACUCGGCCCUCCAGAUGGGCUAUGGCCGGGAAGAGGUCAGGGAGCAAGGGGGGCCACGGGGAUCCGGGGCGUGGGACUCGGGCCCCGGCCUGAGUCUUAGGUAUCCGUAGCGCCCUCCUUCUUCCUCCUCUUCGCUGAUUACAGCUCACAGUAAGUACUGGUUCACACAGUUCGUUCCUUGGGUGCUCACUCGCUUUCUCUUUCUCCACAGGCAGCGGCGUAAGUACAGGCACAGUUAGUUCAGCUUGGUUUUGCUCUCACCUCUUCGCUGAUUACAGCUCACAGUAAGUACUGGUUCACACAGUUCGUUCCUUGGGUGCUCACUCGCUUUCUCUUUCUCCACAGGCAGCGGCGUAAGUACAGGUUUCCUCGGUCUCUCCUCGUGUUAUUCACUCUCUCUCCUUUUUCUCUCCACAGGCAUCAACUUGGGCACACUAGCACAGUUACUCUGCUUUGGAUGGCUUUCACCUCUGCUCUGGACACAGCGUACCGUGCUAUCUCCGGAGAUCUGAAGCACGCUCACAACAUAUACUGUACUGAACUAGGCUAGGACCAGCAGUCUCCUUGUCCUCCCGCGCCGAAGUGCGUGAAGGCGGGGGUUUAUCUGACAGGACACACGGCAAUACACAGCAGCCCACAGCAAUAUACAACACCACGUCAAAAUUAUAGGUUUUCACAGCACGAAGACUCACCCACCACACUCAGUGUACGAAAAGGACACCCGUCUUCCUUCACUUCGCUUGGUUCGGAUCUGGCGAUGGAAUAUGCGGCCUAGCUAGUGAUGUCGUCGUUGUGACUACUUCAAUAAGUAUUCCUUCGGCUCUCCCACCACGCUAUAUUAGGGGUAGGGCCGCCCUCCUCCUCCUGGAGAGAUCUACACAACGCCAGGUCAAUAUACAGGGCACUUUCGACUGGCUCUUAGUACUCACAUCAAUGCCGCUUCCAAUCCCCUUUUUCACGUCGUCUCAGUUCGCUGUAUAAUCUGUUCACUUCUCAACCUUUAAGGUUCGCGAUGUCUUCACAAUCAUACAAUUCCAGCCUGAGGGAGAGAGAGAGUUAGACAGCCACCAGCAGCGCACCAAGACGGGCACAACACAGUGCUUCACACACACCAGAAAGAGCUCCCAGACUGUGAAAUAACUUGGCCUUAAGUACUGCCUUGUCCAGCGUAUCCUCCAAUCACCAACCGCUGUCCCUAACUAGGCACAGGUGCAUCGAAUUCCCUGAUUUUCCUUCUUACGGCGCUACCGGAAGUUCCGGUGUUCUGUUUUUCCGGUCCGGGCGGAAACACUUCCGGGCGGAACCAAACUUCCCGAAUUUUGGUUCCGCCCCUAAAGAUCGUCACCUUGUGACAUCCUCCCCCGCCAAUCCGUUCUAGUCCCUAGAACGUCCCUCGGGCUGUCCACUCCCCAUAGCGGGCAGGGGGUCGGCCUCGGUUCUCUCGCUGGGAUCGUCUCACUGGUGAAUCGGGCUCAGCUUGUUCAGGGG